UUGCCUUAGUACGGCGAGUGAAGCGGCAAAAGCUCAAAUUUGAAAUCGGCCACCAGGUCGAGUUGUAAUUUGUAGAUUGUAUCUUGAGAGCGGAUUAAAGUCUGUUGGAACACAGCGCCUUAGAGGGUGACAGCCCCGUAAAAUCUAUUCUCAUUGUAAGAUACUUUCGAAGAGUCGAGUUGUUUGGGAAUGCAGCUCUAAGUGGGAGGUAAAUUCCUUCUAAAGCUAAAUAUUGACGAGAGACCGAUAGCGAACAAGUACUGUGAAGGAAAGAUGAAAAGCACUUUGAAAAGAGAGUGAAAAAGUACGUGAAAUUGUUAAAAGGGAAGGGUAUUGAAUCAGACUUGGUGCUGUUGUUCAACUGUGUUUCGGCAUAGUGUACUCAGCAGUACUAGGCCAAGGUGGGGUGUUUGGGAGUGAAAAAGAAGUUGGAACGUAACUUCUUCGGAGUGUUAUAGCCUACUUUCAUAGCUCCUCAGGCGCCUCAGGACUGCGCUUCGGCAAGGACCUU
rnacentral:rRNA from 1 species